GAAGGAAGAAACAGAAAGGAUAGAGGAACAAAGAGAUCAUUGCAAGUCCAGGAAUUCAUUUUAAGAACUGAAUGAUAUGAUUGAUGGGCAGUGAAUUUGUGCAUAUAAUCAGUGGGGCUGAGGAUAAAAGUGCAACUUGGGAGAACAAAACUGGAGAAUACCUACUGGGGCCCACACAAUGGGAAACAGUGAGAAAGAUUAGAAUAAACUUUUGAUAGAA